CCCGAAGGGAAGCCCGCCCUUUCCUUGAGGAGAAACCCGCCCUUUCCUUGAGGGAAACCCGCCCUUUCCUUAAGGAGAAACCCGCCUUUUCCUUGAGGGAAACCCGCUCUUUCCCUGAGGAGAAACCUGCCCUUUUCUUGAGGAGAAACCCGCCCUUUCCUAAAGGAGAAACCCGCCUUUUCCUUGAGGGAAACCCGCUCUUUCCAUGAGGAGAAACCCGCCCUUUCCUUGAGGAGAAACCCGCCCUUUUCUUGAGGAGAAACCCGCCCUUUUCUUGAGGAGAAACCCGCCCUUUCCUUGAGGGAAACCCGCCUUUCUUCAGUGCCCUGCUGAGCUCGAUGUGGCCUGUAUCCACUCAGCUUGUCUGCCUAGAACCCCAUCCUUUUAUUAUUAAUUAUCGAAUCAUAGAAUGUUCUGAGUUGCAAGGCACCCACAAUGGUCAUCGAGUCCAACGCCUGCCCCUGCAGGAGGCAACCAUGAGACACCACGUGUCCUUGAACAAGUAACAGUUGACUUGGGUUUCUACGUGUCUUGGACAGAUCUGAACCAGGAAAGUGGCGUUCGGAUAUCAGAGCUCAUCAAUUCACAUUUGAAAGACAUUGGCAGGUUUAACACGAGAGGUGGGAGGCCGAGCCAGCCGCCGCAGCUGAAGCGCAGCCGGAGGUCUGGGGCGCUCAGUCCGCCUCACAGCAUUCCUGCGCUCACUCAGGUGUAUGUAGGGAGGUAAUGUCUUAUAUGCUAUGUAAUAACUGAUUUUAUAACAUUAAAAGAGCAUCAAUGGGUUUCCUUUUUGUGUAGGAGUGAGGAUAAAAAUCUUAGAGGUGUAAAGUGUUUGGUUACUGAUGGGAACUGUGUAAGUUUCCACAAUAGAUAUCCCAGCUGAAAAAUAACACGAAUAAAAAACAAUAGUCAUGCCAGAGUGCUGGCAUUUCUUCUGUGCGAUGGGCAGACUAAAAUGAUAAUGAAAGAAAUAACAAUGGAAAAGCCAACCAUUGUCACGCAGGCUGACGUUGUCCUGUAUUAAUAGUGGUUACAGCUCUUUCUCCUCGCUGGUGGCGAAGGAUUCUCCCAAAAUCCCGGCGGAACGCGGUGAGCUGGACGGGGCAAGGGCUGAAUUUGAAUCUGAAGGUUUUAGGCCUGCUGUGGAAGGAAAGCCGGUGAUGGCGCAGACACAAAGCGCAGCAGGAGGAAGCGUAUGGGGCAUGUGGGUUGAAGGAGGGAUCGGCCGUGCAAGUGGUUGGAAAACGAGAUGACAGAGGAGGGGCAGAAACUUGAUUUCACAACUGCUGAUUCUAAUUGAAGACGACAAACCAAAAAGUAUCUCAUUUCUGUUUUUUUUUUAUUUGCCAGCGUUAAUGACUGCUGUGAUAUAGAAGGCACAGCACUGAUUAUCGCCACUUGGCGGCAGCAAACAAUAUAAAAAUCUUGCUUUAAAAAAAUCUGAUGGCCAGUGAAAGCGAUCAUGAGAUUGAGCUAAUGUCUGCAGGCCUCUACGUAUUUGACUAGAAGAACCUCGUGGUGCGUGCAUCUGGCAGCGUGACAUUAUUCCUGUGGAGCACAGAGUGCCCUCCGCACAGAGAAGCGCCGCUGGGGAUUUCUGCUGCCGUCCUCCGGGCCUCAGAGUUUCACUGUCUGCACUGAGGAGAGCCGGAAAGGAGAAUGGUGUCAUCACCUGAAGGGAAAUGAAAAUCAGAAAGAAACGAGGAGGGGAAAUUUUGCUGCUUAUUUUUAGACUCUGUGGGAUGGUGAUAGCGACUGUUUGGUGACAGCCUGCGUAAGGACCACGCCAGGGGAAAAGCUGAGGGUGGACAGCAACACUUCAGUUGCUCGUUUCACACGACAAGGCUUUGGCUUGGUUCUGGAUAGUUUGGCCGUUCCUCAGUUUCACGGUGAGGGAGGUGAUCAACGAACACGCUGACACGAAGGUCUCUGAAGGACAGGAGGGAAGGAAAUAUCCCGGUCAUGCAGAAAUUGUUCUAUCAAAAUGUCACAAUUAGAAAUGAAUGUGUAUGAUACAAACAUGGAGAAAUUAGAUGUUCGUUGCUAGAAAGAAUUUACCGUCUAACGUGAGGUGCAGUAGGAAUUUUGACGUGGCACAUUUGCAGCCUUGCUUUCGUUUUUCAUUUACUUCUUCACAACGGGCCCUUCCCAACCGUUUUGUCAAAGAGCUGCAAUAUGCAGCACAGCUCUUGAUAAUCCCAGUUCUUCCUGACUAAGCAAGAAUCUGAAACCAGAUGGGGACUGGGGUGAAUUCGCUUAGAAUAUACUUUUCAUAUGCCUAUAUAAAAAUAUGCAUAAACAUGAUACCCUCCUCUUGGGGGUAAAAGGUGGGACAUGAUACUUGUGAGAGGCACCGAGUUCUGCAAAUUAAGGCAACGGGGAGGGAAACAAAUGGCCUGUUAAAUAUAAAAAACGGCGUCUGCUUUUUGUUCUGGGCCUUUGGAAUCUGUGGGUGGAUUGGAACUGGCAGGCAGGGAGCAAACACCCACCCACCACAGGGCUGUGUGGUUCAGAAGUUUACAAGAGUAUUUGUGUUCCAGGAGCUGUUGGCCUUGAAGGCAACGGAGAGGGGGAGGAGAAGAGGCAGAGAACGAGAAAAACACUGUGGUGUGAGGGCCCUUCCUCGGAGAUAUUUUUCCCCUCUGCUUUCUCCAGCUAGAGGCCUUUGGAGCUGGAGCAAGACAAACAGUUAGUGGGGGAAAGAUGAGUGUGAUUUUAAGAUGCGCAGCGCUCAGUCUGUCGCAGGGGAGGCAGAGCCUUCAGAAGCCACUGCCACCUUAAUCCCAAAUGCCAGCUCCCAUCACCCCCCCGGCUCUGGCCCCGCUGCUGGUUAGUGCUGCAGUCAGUGGGCUAUAAAGGAAGGCAAGUUUUACUCUAUUAUUACUGUAUUAUUAUAGGAUUUGAGAAUGUUUAUUUCUGUCCCAUCACCAAUUUAGGUUCAGAAUGUGCCACUCUGGUCACGCUCUGGAUGCUGCAGAUACAGAAACUGAGGCACAGAGAGACCAAACAACGUGCCCAGGGCAACGGGAAGUCUGUGGGGGAUCUGGGAAUAGACCCCAGAUGUCCCGAGUUUUCCAUCUUAACCACAAGACCAUCCUUCCUGUCGUUCGGGUAGACCCCUCUGCUUCAGGAAUUCCGGUUUAUGAAUUCCACCCAUAAACAAUCUGUUGCACGAUGCAGUGAUUUAUUUGCUUAAAAGCCAUUUGGAAGGGAAAUGGCACCUCUCUGACAAUGAACUGCAGCUACUACUGUUCUUUCUUUGGGAGGGGUAGAGGGGAAGGAUGAAAAAACCCCCCAAAACCAAAACAGCUUCUAGAGCGAAGCAGCUUUUCCAUUGCUAUCGAAACUUCUCACAAGCAUUAAUUUUGUUCUUUAAAAGAAUCAGGAACUCCAUACAAUAUGUUUCAGUGUAUCUAGCCAUUUAUAUUUUAGUGAGCUUAAAAAGAACGACUGAAAUGGGACUAAAUCCAGCCAAGGAAUGAUUCUGGUGCUGUUGGCACCUGAGUACCUUUGGUGGUUUGGUGGCUUCCCUGGGCGUCGGGUGCUUGUCCCUCGUCACAGCCAGAACUUCUCUGGGAAGUGAAUGGUGGGAAGGGUUUUCUUUCUAAAAAAGCCAUUGCUUUGGAAAUGAGGGAAUAAGUGGAACGUCAGAGAUGUCCUUCAUUUUAUCAAAGCGUGGCAUAUUGAAAAUAAUUCUUAAGUAAAACCUUUUAGUUGCUGCUGUUACUCAGUGAAGAAUAUUCCUAGCUGUGCUUUCUCUGACCGUGGCAACCUCUGUAGCGUCAGGAAUCAACAAGGACUGUGUGGCCUCAAGCGUUAGAUUGCGUCUUCAGACCUUGCUGUUGUCGUAAUGUCUAAAAAUUCCGCUUGUGCAUCAGUGAAUCGGCGUGCGGCGCUUUGUAGAAACAAACUCAGAGGGCACUUCUUGCCAACAGUGGCUUUCUGUAACAAAGCAAUGUGGUGGAGACUCUCUGAAGUGUCUUCUCUCAGCACAUGAAGACAAAAAGUGAUGACUCAGACCAAUGUUCCUGUGUUUUCUGGACUCCCCUGCAGCACUUUAGAGCGAUGUCUAAGCUGGGUAUGUGAGCGUGGGUUCCUCACUGGAGAAAUGCUGAUUUAGUUGCAACACCAAAGCUCUUUUGCCACGCUGUGGCACCUCUUUGCUCUGAAAGGGAUUUCAGAAUAUAAAAAUACAAAUAAAAUAUGAGAGCUUGCUGCAUUCCCUGCUCCGUUACACUGAUUCUGAGUACCUUGCAAACUUGUUCUUUUCUGCUUGCUCUUUUAAUUAGCGUUUGGAUAUGUGUGUAUUUGUUCCUCCUCUUGUCCUGAUCUACCUGCUUGUUCUGCUUUUUACUGUAACGGUAAAAGCUCUUUCGGAGGAGGACACCCGGAUGCUCCAAUUCUGGGUCACCCAUCCUUCUAUACUAUGAGUGAUGCUUAAAGCCACUGUUGCAUUACAUUUUUUUAACAAUUGUAUUGGCCUGAAACUGCUGUCCAGCAUUUUUUUGGCGUGCACAACUGACAGAAUUGGGAGAGAACAGGCCUUUUAAGAUUGUGUCUUAUGUUUGUACUUAGAAUUCUAGAAAAAAGGGAGAA